CACUGUAGCCAUACCACCUUGGGCUGUGCUCUUGUCAGAUUUAAUAAAAGAAAUGAGGUCAAGCCUGGGCAGUAUUUGGAUGGGAAGCCUCUAUGGAAAACAAGGACGUUGGAGGAA
rnacentral:rRNA from 1 species